rnacentral:tRNA from 1 species
UCCUCUGUAGUUCAGUCGGUAGAACGGCGGACUGUUAAUCCGUAUGUCACUGGUUCGAGUCCAGUCAGAGAA